rnacentral:rRNA from 1 species
AACAGGAUUAGAUACCCUGGUAGUCCACGCCGUAAACGAUGAGUGCUAAGUGUUAGAGGGUUUCCGCCCUUUAGUGCUGCAGCUAACGCAUUAAGCACUCCGCCUGGGGAGUACGGUCGCAAGACUGAAACUCAAAGGAAUUGACGGGGGCCCGCACAAGCGGUGGAGCAUGUGGUUUAAUUCCAAGCAACGCGAAGAACCUUACCAGGUCUUGACAUCCUCUGACAACUCUAGAGAUAGAGCGUUCCCCUUCGGGGGACAGAGUGACAGGUGGUGCAUGGUUGUCGUCAGCUCGUGUCGUGAGAUGUUGGGUUAAGUCCCGCAACGAGCGCAACCCUUGAUCUUAGUUGCCAGCAUUUAGUUGGGCACUCUAAGGUGACUGCCGGUGACAAAUCGGAGGAAGGUGGGGAUGACGUCAAAUCAUCAUGCCCCUUAUGACCUGGGCUACACACGUGCUACAAUGGAUGGUACAAAGGGCUGCAAGACCGCGAGGUCAAGCCAAUCCCAUAAAACCAUUCUCAGUUCGGAUUGUAGGCUGCAACUCGCCUACAUGAAGCUGGAAUCGCUAGUAAUCGCGGAUCAGCAUGCCGCGGUGAAUACGUUCCCGGGCCUUGUACACACCGCCCGUCACACCACGAGAGUUUGUAACACCCGAAGUC